rnacentral:rRNA from 1 species
AACGAACGCUGGCGGCAUGCCUAACACAUGCAAGUCGAACGAGACCUUCGGGUCUAGUGGCGCACGGGUGCGUAACACGUGGGAAUCUGCCCUUUGCUUCGGAAUAACAGUUAGAAAUGACUGCUAAUACCGGAUGAUGUCGAAAGACCAAAGAUUUAUCGGCAAAGGAUGAGCCCGCGUAGGAUUAGGCAGUUGGUGGGGUAAAGGCCUACCAAGCCGACGAUCCUUAGCUGGUCUGAGAGGAUGAUCAGCCACACUGGGACUGAGACACGGCCCAGACUCCUACGGGAGGCAGCAGUGGGGAAUAUUGGACAAUGGGCGAAAGCCUGAUCCAGCAAUGCCGCGUGAGUGAUGAAGGCCUUAGGGUUGUAAAGCUCUUUUACCAGGGAUGAUAAUGACAGUACCUGGAGAAUAAGCGCCGGCUAACUCCGUG